rnacentral:rRNA from 1 species
GUGGGGAAUAUUGGGCAAUGGGGGCAACCCUGACCCAGCAACGCCGCGUGAGGGAAGAAGGUUUUCGGAUUGUAAACCUCUGUCCUUGGGGACGAAGAAGUGACGGUACCCAAGGAGGAAGCUCCGGCUAACUACGUGCCAGCAGCCGCGGUAAUACGUAGGGAGCGAGCGUUGUCCGGAAUUACUGGGCGUAAAGGGUGCGUAGGCGGUUUGGUAAGUCAGAUGUGAAAUACCCGGGCUUAACCCGGGGGCUGCAUCUGAUACUGUCAGACUUGAGUGCAGGAGAGGAAAGCGGAAUUCCUAGUGUAGCGGUGAAAUGCGUAGAUAUUAGGAGGAACACCAGUGGCGAAGGCGGCUUUCUGGACUGUAACUGACGCUGAGGCACGAAAGCGUGGGGAGCAAACAGGA